rnacentral:rRNA from 1 species
AACUUGAGGGGAACUGCUCCUAGUACGAGAGGACCGGAGCAGGCGGACCUCUGGUGUACCAGUUGUGCCGUCAGGUGCAGGAGCUGGGUAGCCAAGUCCGCACGGGAUAAGCGCUGAAAGCAUCUAAGCGCGAAGCCCACCCCAAGAUAAGGUUUCCCACGGGGAAAGCCCGGUAAGGCACCUCCGAGAAGAGGAGGUAGAUAGGCCGGAGGUGGAAGCGCAGCAAUGCGUGGAGCCGACCGGUACUAAUAUGCCGAGGCUUUGACGCCUG